GAUGGCAAGAAGAGUUCAUCACGGACACUUCUUCCUUGCUGGGGGAUGUCUGGGCUGCUUGUGAUCUCCAGGAGGGGCAAAAAGCAGGAAGACACCCAGCAGCCUCCUUGUGCCUGAGAGCAGGCUGCACGAUGUUAGGCUCCUACAGGAAUUUUUUGGUGCCCAGGGCCCCUUUGGCAAUGUGGUGCAGAGUUCAAAGGCAGCAGUGCUACAGCUGGGAGUGUCUGACUGAGGAUAUCCAAGCACCUUUGGGCCUAGAGGCUUGUGAAAGAGCUCAGCUGUGGCCUGACUGCACAUAGGGACCUCCGAGUGCUGAAAAAGCCUCCCGUUGGUCCUUGGGAACAUGGAGCACAGGAAAGGCUGCAGCUUGAUUGCUUUGCUUAGGCUGAGCAUUUUAACAGCUUCAGCUCCUUUCUCCAGAGAGCCUCCCUGGGGCAGAGGUGUAAGGUCCCAAGCAGAUCUGUCUGAAGCAGCAGUGAGAGAGUGUUGCUCCACCCUCUGGGCUGAGGUCUGGAGGGUGCUUUGAGCCUGCAGAGGCAGGGGAAGACAGGACCUGCUAUCUUCAGCACCCUCUUUCUCGGAGAUACCUGGACACCUCGUGGAGUGGAGAUCGUGACAUGGUCCUGAUUUUUCUGGCAGCCCAGCUGGGACUGGCAGCCUUUGGUCAUGCACAAAAGGACUUUGUGCUGCAGUUCCCACCAGAAGCGACCAUCCAGGCAGGACACAACGUAACACUGCACUCUGGAGUUGGAGAGCUGGAUGCACAGUGUGGCUGGCGAGAGCUCAGAGGAUGAUUCUUCCAUGGGGCCGUCUGCAGUACUUCUAACACUCCCGCCUGCCAGGAGUGGCUCAUCUUGGCCCAAUGACUCAUCCCAAAACAGCAAACUAAACUGCUGGUUCCCUGUGCCCAGGUGUCAGACAGGAGGGAGGCCCUGCUUACCAGGGCAUUUUCCCCUAAAGGCUUGCCUCAAGAGACAACAUUUCCCCUGGCAAAAGGCUCCUUUCAGCUUCUUGAGGCACUGACAUGCAGAAUGAGAUUGGCAGAGGCCAGCCAGAAGGUCAUGGGGCUGGAGCAUGUGGCACACAAGCAGAGGCUUGGUGAACUGGGCUUCUUCAGCCUUAAAAAGAGAGAGCUAAAGGAAGACUUGCUGUCCACAGGUCCCUGAUUGGAGACUAAAAAAACAGACGGAAGCAGAGUCUUCUCAAAGGUGCUCAGCCAUAGAGUGAAAGGCAAUGGACACAGGUUGGAACAUGGGAAAUAUGGAUUACAAAUCAGGACUUGUUAUUGUUUUUAUUGUUGUUGUUGUUGUUGUUAUUUACCCUGGGGGUGGAUCAAGUUUCCCAGAGAGGCUGUAAAACAGCAGUGCUUGGAGGUAUUCAGGACUUAACUGGGCAGGACCCUGAGCAGCUGGAUCUCAUGGCAUCUGCUUGGACUAGAUGACCUCCAGAGGUCUCCUCCAGCCUAAAUCACUCAACAGUUCUAUGAUUCUAUGCAAAGAGGGAAAGCAGGAUUUUCUGCAGCUAAAGGUGAAGACCAGGGCAAAUGGAGAUGUAACUGGCUAUGAAGAAACCAAGUCUAGUAGUGACUGAGAAGGUGUGUAUUUGUUUGCUUUAGGGGGAAAUGGCUGCUACAAGAAUGGUUUCUGAAGUGGUCUAUGAUUGCUCUGAGGCUGGGAUGGUGUGACAGGAAAGGGGAUUGCCUGGCUUAUGAGGUACCUUCAUGCAGACAGGAAGAGAGAUUUCACCCUGCCUGGAGGGAUUGGCAGGACUGUAUUUCAUAGAUUGCAGGCUGGAAUGAAAAAUUUUCUGAAAUUGAUGUUAAAUGGGUUAAAGAAAAUCAUAUUUUUUAUGUUUUUUCCAGUUUGACGAUUUGUAUGAUGUCCAGUUAAGUGUUUGUUCAUUUUUACUAUGAAGGCUAUAAUAGCUACAGAAAACAGAAAAUACAGAAGGUAGCUAUUACUACUAUGGAUAUGCAUAAUUGCAUUCAGCAUUUUGUGAUGUUCCAAUUCUGAUCUGACUUUUCUGGUAAUUAAUAACUCCUCACUACCUACUAAGUAAACUUGCAUGAAGAUUUGACAGGUA